AAUAUUCGGUAGGAGUAAGGUGGGGACUACAUUCUGUCGAGAUUCCAAGGAGCGAUAUCGCAUAAUAUAUCUCAGUCAUGUUAUCAUGAAAAAAGUAGCUUCCAGAUGCAGUUUUCUGGAAAUGGAAAACACUACUUCAACGAAUGAAACGCCAUAUCCACAGAGAUGUAUCGCAAUGGAUUCUUCCUCUUCACCUUUGAUCUUACUACGGACCUGGAGUAUGACACUGGAAUCUGAUUAGAAGAGGAACUCUACGCAUGGAAUUAAAAUUUAGGGUUGCUCUCAUCGAAGCUAUAAUCUGUAUUGCAUGCAAGGAGUUUAAUAGUAGUAUUGUACAACGUCAAAAAUCUUUAUUGUCGUUUGAGAUACGAUUCUGAUUAUAUUUUGAUUAUUUAUAGGUUACAAAUGAAAAUAUUAAAUUAAAACCAUUUGGAUAUAUGAAAUGUAAUGUUAAAAUUAAAUACAAAAUUCCUCAAAUUAAUACAAAAUUAGUUCACACAUUAAACUAGAGGUUUUAGUUUAAAUAAUCAAAAGGUUUUACAUGGGAAUACAUACAAUUAAUUCUUGAAAUAGAAUCCUGUUUCAAUUGGAAUGAAUGUGAGCUAAAACGCUAUCUAUAUUUAAAUUGAUCGUUUGUAUGCAAGAUAUACUCAGCCCUCUAUACUUUCCUUGUUCUGCAUCAAACAAGUAAAAUAUAUAGUGCCCGGUCCUUUUACACAUAACAAGUGAAUAAGGAGCUUUAUACGUUAUCCAUGACAAUUUAGCAAACUUUUAAAAAGACAGUCAUUUUGUGAUUCUAAUUUUCUCAUUUAAAGAUUACUACUAUUUAAUUUGUAAUAUUAUAAAUAUGUGUGUUUUGUGCUGUUUUAAUAUAAGUACCAUACACAAGCAACCAACUUUUACAUUUGGAUGUAAAUAUAAAUGACUUUAUUCACUAACUGAGGACUUUAAUUUGGCAGCCAUUUGCCUACAUGUAAACAUUGUCUUGCAAAUAAUGGCUGUUUAAAAGUGCAGCUAACAGUUUUUUUAUUAUUGGAUAUUUUUCAAUGAUGUUCGUUAUUAUGGGUUAUUAUACUCUUGAGGUGUUUCGGAGUCAAUUAGUCAAUUAGUAGCGGUUUGAAUAGUAUGCUAUAAAGUAACUUUGCUGAUAUUAUGGUAACACAGUAAUUGACGUAAUUUCCAAUCGAACUAAAGUAAACUUGGGAUUAAUACAGUAUUUACACAUACAUUAAAAAAUUCUGUAGCUAUUCUCAACCAAUAAAAGUUUAGUGCUAUUUGUGCUAA